rnacentral:rRNA from 1 species
UGGGGAAUCUUGCACAAUGGGGGCAACCCUGAUGCAGCGACGCCGCGUGAGCGAUGAAGCCCUUCGGGGCGUAAAGCUCUUUCGACCGGAACGAUAAUGACGGUACCGGGAGAAGAAGCUGCGGCUAACUACGUGCCAGCAGCCGCGGUAAUACGUAGGCAGCAAGCGUUGUUCGGAGUUACUGGGCGUAAAGAGUGCGUAGGCGGUUUUCUAAGUUCGGUGUGAAAUCUCCCGGCUUAACUGGGAGGGUGCGCCGAAGACUGGGAAGCUGGAGUGUGGGAAAGGCAGGCGGAAUUCCUGGUGUAGCGGUGAAAUGCGUAGAUAUCAGGAGGAACACCGGCGGUGUAGACGGCUUGCUAGACCCUAACUGACGCUGAGGCACGAAAGCGUGGGUAGCAAACA